rnacentral:rRNA from 1 species
GUGAACGGCCACAGUGGCUUGGAAACGCCUGUUCCCAUUCCGAACACAGCAGCUAAGAAGGCCCACGUAUUAUUGAGUACUGUACUGAUGUACGGGAAAAAUAGUUCGCUGUUCACA